UACGUAGGGGGCAAGCGUUGUCCGGAUUCAUUGGGCGUAAAGAGCGUGUAGGCGGCCAGGUAGGUCGGUUGUGAAAACUGGAGGCUCAACCUUCAGAGGUCGACCGAAACCAUCUGGCUAGAGUCCGGGAGAGGAGAGUGGAAUUCCUGGUGUAGCGGUGAAAUGCGCAGAUAUCAGGAAGAACACCCGUGGCGAAGGCGGGUCUCUGGGCCGACACUGACGCUGAUGCGCGAAAGCCAGGGGGAGCGAACGGGG
rnacentral:rRNA from 1 species